rnacentral:rRNA from 2 species
CCUGGCGGCCGUAGCGCGGUGGUCCCACCUGACCCCAUGCCGAACUCAGAAGUGAAACGCCGUAGCGCCGAUGGUAGUGUGGGGCUUCCCCAUGCGAGAGUAGGGAACUGCCAGGC